GACGAACGCUGGCGGCGUGCUUAACACAUGCAAGUCGAGCGGUAAGGCCUUUCGGGGUACACGAGCGGCGAACGGGUGAGUAACACGUGGGUGAUCUGCCCUGCACUUCGGGAUAAGCCUGGGAAGCUGGGUCUAAUACCGGAUAUGACCUCCUAUCGCAUGGUGGGUGGUGGAAGGAUUUAUCGGUGCAGGAUGGGCCCGCGGCCUAUCAGCUUGUUGGUGGGGUAAUGGCCUACCAAGGCGACGACGGGUAGCCGACCUGAGAGGGUGACCGGCCACACUGGGACUGAGACACGGCCCAGACUCCUACGGGAGGCAGCAGUGGGGAAUAUUGCACAAUGGGCGAAAGCCUGAUGCAGCGACGCCGCGUGAGGGAUGACGGCCUUCGGGUUGUAAACCUCUUUCAGCAGGGACGAAGCGCAAGUGACGGUACCUGCAGAAGAAGCACCGGCUAACUACGUG
rnacentral:rRNA from 1 species